rnacentral:lncRNA from 10 species
CCUCCGCUUCCCCCAAGGUUGGCGCCCGGGAGCCGUGCUCUGGGACCACACUCCUCUUUGGCUCUGGGAAUUUCUCCUCCCACGUGGAGGCCCCCACAGCAGUGGACACCACCCAGCCAGGCCCACCUGACCGGUCAGGCUCAAACCCUCUGGUACCCGCCCCACCCAUAGGACCAGGUGUAAACCAGGCAGCGACACCCCAGACGUGUGGUCUUGGUCAGCUCCCCUGGGCUCCUCUCCCUCCAGCUGGCCCUUCUCUGCCCAGGAAACAGUUUUCUGAAGAGUUCUCCGUUCUCGAGCCUUCCAGCUGCGUGGGAGAGAGUUGACCCCAAGGCUGGGACCACAAGAGGCCAGGGAGGGUGGGCCUGGGAUCUGCAGCUCACGGGCUGUGUGACUGUGGGCACGAGAUUUCAUUUCCUGAUUCAUAAAGGUGGGGACCGAUCAAAGCUACUCCUUGGACCUUUGUGAAGAUUAAAUGAGUUCAACACGGAGCAUUCUUGACCCAUGGGCCAUCCCCAGAUGAGGCUGCAGCAUUGCCCCGUGUGCUCUCAGCUGGUGCCAGUGUUGUCUGGAACUGUCUGGACCUACCUGGAAACUGAGUAUUUCUCUGAAGAAGUCUGCAGCCCUUUGGCAGCGUGGCUGCAGAUGGAAGGAAGGAAACAGUUCGCCCUGGAGAAUGGCUAGGCAGCACCUCUGAGCCGAGCAUCCCACCCGCUCUGACUGGCCCACAAUCGUGGGGCCAGUGGUAUCUCAGAGCCCUUCUGUAAGGAGGUCUGGUCCCCCGGCAUUCAGGGGUUCUGAGCUGCUCAGUUCUGGGAUAUGGGGAAAAGCCAGGAUUCUCCACCAUGCUGGCUGACGCCAUUUCUCUGUUCACCAGACCUACAGGGUUUUGUCACUUACAGUGAUUGCCAUGGUCUGAAUGCUUGUGUCCUCCUCGAAAGUCCUACAGGGUGAAGGACACAGUUGCUGCCCUGGCCCUGUCACCCAUUGAGACCAGGACACCCCAUUGUGCUGGAGCUGCUACCUGGUUGCCAACACUCAGGCAGCCUGUUCAAUGAGAGCAACUUGCACCACUAUCUUGGUCCACAGAGCCUUCCAAGAUGCGGUGCCCUCCAUCAGCAUAUUGCCACGCCUUUCUCUCCCAGGAUGCAUUGCUGGGAUGGAUGAACAGGGCCAUGCGAUAAAUCCUCUAACGUUGCCACGUCUGUGCUUUUGCCUCCUUUCCUCUCCGUUGUAUGGAGGAAGUUCUGACAGCUCACUUCAUUUCACGUGGUGUGCAAGCUUCUGUCAAACAACGGAACAAACUAUGAGAACCACUUCCAGCCACUGCUUCUGCACACUUCUCUGCUAAGUGAGUCUCUGCUGUGUGAGUCUCAUUGGUAAAACUACCCUGAUCUAACAUUCUGUUACCUCCUUUGUGGUCCAACACUCCAAGAGUCCACGGCCUCAGACGCCCCUGGGUUUCUGCUGAUGUAAAUUGGCAAAAACUUGCAUUCAGUGUGUAUGUGGCUCCUCUUGGGUCUCACUGUGUGUUUAUCCCUCUGCACCCAACUCUAGUCAUGGCUCUGGGAAUAAUGAGGGUCGGUGGAGGUGGAUCUCAAGGGAGAUCUGUCAUCUUGCAAGGCUGUUUCCUCAAGUGAAGCCAUCACAGAUCUUUGGGCACAGUUUUACUCACCUCAGACUCUAAGGAAGAGUCACUUCUGCUUACAGGGAGACUCAGGAAGGUCUAAUGUUCAGGGGACUCAGAGUCAGAGAAAUCCACCCUCUCCAGUUCUCGAGGUCUCAUUCUUUCCAAAUAAAUGCCUUAACUUUGACUUAAGAGAUUUAGUAAGACAUUUAAUUAUUCUUUAGUUGUAAUUCAUUAGCCUGCAAGAUCAAAUUUGUACUCUGCAUUUAAAAAAAAAAGUUGACUCUACAGCUACAAGAACUAAAAUGGUUUUUUUAGGACAGCUAUAGAAGGGCUCUGGUUCUCUGUCUAUACCUUCAGCUGAGCACUUAAGGCCACAGCUUGUCAUUUUCUUUGUCAGUUCCCCAGUGCAAUAAGCAGCAGCCACCCCAUGCCACAUCCUUGUAUGCAUGGUUUCCAUCCACAUCCUAAUGUCCUAUUGCAAGAGCCCCCUGGUGUCUGAAACCCAGGCUUGUGAUGGGCACUGCAUCGCAGAGACCUCAAGGUAAUGAUUUUACCAGUGACAAUGUUUAUAGAUUAUCUGCAUCCUGCUUCCCACUCCUCACGUGGUCCUCACUGACAUCAGACAAAACCUGGUCUGUCCAAUUACUAACUCCAGAUUCCCAUCUUCAAGGUUCUGCCUUCCUGGAAACACUGCUGGUACCAGGAAUGGUUGGUCGGGAACACUAAAGUCACUCUAGGUAUUUUGGGUAGAAGGAGAUUCAUUGCAGGGAACUCUAGGCUUACAGAAAUGUUGAGAACUUUGGGGACUGAAGGUUAUUUCAGGAGAUCUGGAAGUGCAGGGAUAGAAGGGUAGCAUCCAUUGCCCCCUGAUAACUGUACCACUGACAUGGCUAGAAACCACCCCAGUGAUCCCAGCUGCUUGUAGCACCUCAGGGUGAUUCUCAAACUGACUCCAGAAGCCAAGGUACACUGCUGCCAAUGACUGCAGGGGCCUCUGCAAAACGGACGUUGAUGAAUGAAACAAAGUGUGAUCUACCCAUAGCAGGGAAUGUUAUUCAUCCUUAAAAAGGAAGGAAAUCCUGCAGCUCACGCCUGUCAUCCCAGCUCUUUGGGAAGCUGAGGCAGGAGAAUGGCUUGAGGCCAGGAGUUUGAGACCAGCCUGGGCAACAUAAUGAGACCCCCGUCUCUACAAAAAACAAUUUAAAAAAUUUGCUGUAGUCCCCGCUACCCAGGAGACUGAAGCAGGAGGAUAGCUUGAGCCCAGGAAGUUGAGGCUGCAGUGAGCUAUGAUCUCUCCUGUCUCUAAAAAAGAAAAAAAAUAAAAGGAAAGAAAUUAAUUCUCACACAGGCUACAAAAUGGAUGAACCUUGAGGACAUUAUGCUGAAUCAAAGAAGCCAUUCAGCAAAGGAUAAAUCCUAUAAGCUUCCCCGUAUAUGAGGAACCCAGAGCAGUGAAAUCCCCAGUGACAGGAAGUGGAUGGUGGGCACCAGGGGCUGGCAGAGAGGAUGGGAGUCAGUCUUCCAUGGGGACAGGGACAGCUUCAGUUUGGGAAGCUGAAGAAGUUCUGGAGAUGAUGAUGGUGGUGACAAGUGCACACCAACGUGAAUGUAUCAGGGACAGCUUCAGUUUGGGAACUUGAAGAAGUUCUGGAGAUGACGAUGGUGGUGACAGGUGCAUACCAACGUGAAUGUAUCAGGGACAGCUUCGGUUUGGGAAGCUGAAGAAGUUCUGGAGAUGAUGAUGGUGGUGACAGGUGCACACCAAUGUGAAUGUAUCAGGGACAGCUUCGGUUUGGGAAGCUGAAGAAGUUCUGGAGAUGAUGAUGGUGGUGACAGGUGCACACCAACGUGACUGUAUCAGGGACAGCUUCAGUUUGGGAAGUUGAAGAAGUUCUGGAGAUAAUGAUGGUGGUGACAGGUGCACACCAACAUGAAUGUAUCAGGGACAGCUUUGGUUUGGGAAGCUGAAGAAGUUCUGGAGAUGAUGAUGGUGGUGACAGGUGCACACCAACGUGAAUGUAUCAGGGACAGCUUCGGUUUGGGAAGCUGAAGAAGUUCUGGAGAUGAUGAUGGUGGUGACAGGUGCACAGCAAUGUGAAUGUAUCUAAUGGCACUAAACUGUGCACUUUAAAACUGCAUGCAUUUACAAUGGUAAAUUUUAUGUUAUGCGCAUUCCACUGUAGUGAAAAAGAGUUAACUUCACCUGAAAUGAAUUCGUGUGGUAACCAUUGG